rnacentral:rRNA from 1 species
ACGAACGCUGGCGGCAUGCCUAACACAUGCAAGUCGAACGAAGGCUUCGGCCUUAGUGGCGCACGGGUGCGUAACGCGUGGGAAUCUGCCCUUUGCUUCGGAAUAACAGUUAGAAAUGACUGCUAAUACCGGAUGAUGUCGCAAGACCAAAGAUUUAUCGGCAAAGGAUGAGCCCGCGUAGGAUUAGCUAGUUGGUGGGGUAAAGGCCUACCAAGGCGACGAUCCUUAGCUGGUCUGAGAGGAUGAUCAGCCACACUGGGACUGAGACACGGCCCAGACUCCUACGGGAGGCAGCAGUGGGGAAUAUUGGACAAUGGGCGAAAGCCUGAUCCAGCAAUGCCGCGUGAGUGAUGAAGGCCUUAGGGUUGUAAAGCUCUUUUACCCGGGAUGAUAAUGACAGUACCGGGAGAAUAAGCGCCGGCUAACUCCGUG